GGGUCUGUACAUUGGUCGGGCUUCACGGUCCGUACUGGUGUGAUGGGUUCCUACCUUCUGAAUAACCAGCAUGCCAUUCAGUUGGUGCGCUGGGGAAGCAGAGCUAUUACCUUGAAAAAAUUAGAGUGCUUAAAGCAGGCUAGUGCUUGAAUAGAUUAGCAUGGAAUAAUAAAAUAGGACGGCAUGGUUCUAUUUUGUUGGUUUCUAGGAUCACCGUA
rnacentral:rRNA from 1 species